rnacentral:rRNA from 1 species
UACGGAGGGGGCUAGCGUUGUUCGGAAUUACUGGGCGUAAAGCGCACGUAGGCGGCUUGGUAAGUUAGAGGUGAAAGCCCGGGGCUCAACUCCGGAACUGCCUUUAAGACUGCAUCGCUUGAAUCCAGGAGAGGUGAGUGGAAUUCCGAGUGUAGAGGUGAAAUUCGUAGAUAUUCGGAAGAACACCAGUGGCGAAGGCGGCUCACUGGACUGGUAUUGACGCUGAGGUGCGAAAGCGUGGGGAGCAAACAGG